UUAAAUGAACUGUGGCUUAUGUUGGAUGGCUUGGCACUUAAAGACGAAGAAGGGCGUGGUAACUAACGAUAUGCUUUGGGGAGUAAGAAACAAAUUUUGAUCCAAAGAUUCCCGAAUGGGUCAACCUAAAUAACUUUUAUAUAUUUAAAUUUUGUAGGCAACUCGGUGAACUGAAACAUCUUAUUAGCCGAAGGAAAAGAAAGCAAAAGCGAUUUUCUUAUUAGCGGCGAGCUAAAUGAAAACAGUCUAAACCUUUUUUGGUGUAGCGGGGUCAGUGUAAAAGUUCAAGAACUAUUUUUUGAAAUUGUUGAAAGCAAUACUAUAAAAGGUUGGAAGUCCUGUAAAAAGAAACUUUCUUGAUCUACUUUUUCCCCAAGUAGCAUGGAGCACGUGAAAUUCCGUGUGAAUCAGCGAGGACCACCUCGUAAGACUAAAUACUCUUAAGUGACCGAUAGUGAACUAGUACCGUGAGGGAAAGCUAAAAAGAACCUUGAGAAAGGAGUGAAAAAGAUUAUGAAAGCAUAAGCUUGCAAGCAGUAGGAGGCCAAUCUUAUGGCUGACUGUGUGCCUGUUGAAGAAUGUGCCGGCGACUUAUAGCUAGUGGCUUGGUUAAUGUUUCAAUUCUGCAGCCAUAGUUAAGACGAGUUUUAAAAAGCGCUUAUGUCACUAGUUAUAGACCCGAACCCGGGUGAUCUAAUCAUUACCAGGAUGAAGCUUUACUAAAACAAAGUGGAGGUCCGUACCCACCAAUGUUGAAAAAUUGGGGGAUGAGUUGUGGUUAGCGGAGAAAUUCUAAUCGAACUCGGAGUUAGCUGGAUCUCUUCGAAAUGCGUUGAGGCGCAGCGGUUAACUAUGUUAAAACAAAGGGGUAAAUCACUGUUUCGAUGAUGGCUGCGAAAGUGGUACUGAUUUGUAGCAAAAUAAGAAUACUUUGUUUUAUACAGUUGACCAGUGAGACUGUGGGGGAUAAGCUUCAUUGUCGAGAGGGAAACAGCCCAGAUCAUCGUUUAAGGCCCCUAAAUGUAUACUAAGUGAUAAAGGAUGUAGGAUUACAUAGACAACCAGGAGGUUUGCUUAGAAGCAGCAAUUUCCUUUAAAAAGUGCGUAAUAGCUUACUGGUUAAGUGAUUCUGCGCCGAAAAUGAAUGGGACUAAGUAUACUGCCGAAAACAUGAGAUUAAAAUUCAGUAGAGGAGCGUUCUGUUUUUGUUGGAAUCAAUAGUGUGAACAAUUGUGGACUAAACAGAAGUGAGAAUGUCGGCUUAAGUAACGAAAACAUUGGUGGAAAUCCAAUGCCCCGUAAAUCUAAGGUUUCCUUCGCCAGGUUCGUCCACGAAGGGUUAGUCAGGAUCUAAAGCGAGGCUUAACAGCGUAGUUGAUGACCAACAGGUUAAUAUUCCUGUACCUUGUUUUAUUUGCUAAGAGUGACGAAAAAGGCUAUCCCAGCCAGAUUUUGGUAAUGCUGGUUUAAUAUUUUAAUACUACGACGAUAUCAAAAUAUCUGAGUUAAGAAAUAGAGUACGAAAAGCACUACGGUGUUUUAAGUGGGUUACGUCAUAUUUCCUAGAAAAACUCUACUAGCGUUAAAUAAAGCAUUGCCUGUACCGAAAACUGACACAGGUAGGUUUGUAGAGAAUACUAAGGGGCGCGAGAUAACUGUUUCUAAGGAACUCGGCAAAAUGACUCCGUAACUUCGGGAGAAGGAGUGCCUUUUAAUUUUAGAAGGCUUCAAUAACCAGGCCCAAACGACUGUUUACCAAAAACACAGGUCUCCGCUAAGUUGAAAAACGAUGUAUGGGGGCUGACGCCUGCCCAGUGCCGGAAGGUUAAAGAAGUUGGUUAGCGUAAGCAAAGCUGAUAACUGAAGCCCCGGUGAACGGCGGCCGUAACUAUAACGGUCCUAAGGUAGCGAAAUUCCUUGUCGGGUAAGUUCCGACCCGCACGAAAGGCGUAACGAUUUGGGCGCUGUCUCGGAAACAGACUCGGUGAAAUAGAAUUGACUGUGAAGAUGCGGUCUACUCGCACUUGGACAGAAAGACCCUAUGAAGCUUUACUGUAUCUUGAAAUUGAUUUUGGGCUCUUUUUGCGCAGAAUAGGUGGGAGGCUUUGAUUCUCUUUUUCGGAAGUAGAGGAGCCAAAAUGUGAGAUACCACUCUUAAAGGGUUAGAGAUCUAAUGAUAUAAUCAAAAUAUUUGACAUUUUCAGGUGGGCAGUUUUACUGGGGCGGUAGCCUCCUAAAAAGUAACGGAGGCGCACAAAGGUUCUCUCAUCCUGGACGGAAAUCAGGUGAAGAGUGUAAAGGUAAAAGAGAGCUUGACUGCAAGACAUAUAAGUCGAGCAGAGACUAAAGUCGGUCUUAGUGACCCGACGAUGCUGAGUGGAAAGGUCGUCGUUCAACAGAUAAAAGUUACUCUAGGGAUAACAGGCUGAUCUCCCCCAAGAGUUCACAUCGACGGGGAGGUUUGGCACCUCGAUGUCGGCUCAUCGCAGCCUGGGGCGGUAGUACGUCCCAAGGGUUGGGCUGUUCGCCCAUUAAAGCGGUACGUGAGCUGGGUUCAGAACGUCGAGAGACAGUUCGGUCCAUAUCCGGUGUGAGCGUUAGAGCAUUGAGAGGAUCUUUCCUUAGUACGAGAGGACCGGGAAGGAUGUACCGCUGUUGUACCGGUUUUCACACCAGUGGAAAAUGCCGGGUAGUCAAGUAUAGAGUGGAUAACUGCUGAAUGCAUAUAAGUAGGAAGCCCACCUCAAGAUGAGUGCUCUUUUAGAUCAUGACUAGACCAGUCGUUUAAUAGGUAUCAAGUGUAAGAGGAGUAAUUUUUUUAGCUGAGAUAUACUAGUAGAUCAAAAGUUUUAUCCUA
rnacentral:rRNA from 1 species